rnacentral:rRNA from 1 species
CGUAAAGCUAUGUUGUCAGGGAAGAACAAAUGUUUAAGUAACUUUGCACAUCUUGAUGGUUCUUAAUCAGAAAGCCUCGGAUAACUUCUUUCUAGCAGCCUCGGAAAUACGAUGGUGGCAAGGGUUACCCGGCAUUAUCGGGCGUAUAGCGCGUGCAGUCGGUUCUUUAAGUCUGAUGUGUAAGCCCACGUCUCAACCGUGGAGGGCCAUUGGAAACUGUAAAACGUGAUUGCAGAAGAGGAAUGUGGAAUUCGCUGUGUUGCGGGGAAAUGCGCAGAGAUAUGAGGGAACGCCUGUGGCGAAGGCGGCUUUCUGGUCUGCAACUGACGCUGAUGUGCGAAAGCGUGGGGAUCAAACAGGAUUAGAUACCCUGGUAGUC